GACGAACGCUGGCGGCGUGCUUAACACAUGCAAGUCGAACGGAAAGGCCCUGCUUUUGUGGGGUGCUCGAGUGGCGAACGGGUGAGUAACACGUGAGUAACCUGCCCUUGACUUUGGGAUCACUUCAGGAAACUGGGGCUAAUACCGGAUAGGAGCUCCUGCUGCAUGGUGGGGGUUGGAAAGUUUCGGCGGUUGGGGAUGGACUCGCGGCUUAUCAGCUUGUUGGUGGGGUAGUGGCUUACCAAGGCUUUGACGGGUAGCCGGCCUGAGAGGGUGACCGGCCACAUUGGGACUGGGAUACGGCCCAGACUCCUACGGGAGGCAGCAGUGGGGAAUAUUGCACAAUGGGCGGAAGCCUGAUGCAGCAACGCCGCGUGCGGGAUGACGGCCUUCGGGUUUUAAACCGCUUUCGCCUGUGACGAAGCGUGAGUGACGGUAAUGGGUAAAGAAGCACCAGCUAACUACGUG
rnacentral:rRNA from 1 species